AUUGACAAGUCAGUCUCCAAAUUUGAGUGGAGGAGCAAUGAGGAAGGAGAGGAGUGCUUAAUAAUCAUUUUAUUUAGGGCUAAAAAUUGCCCUCUCUAAGCUAUUUUUCUUCUCACAGGGGAGAAAUACAAGGACAGUGUUAACCAGCUGGGACCAUUACUAAAUGUCCAAAUAAAGAAGGACAUCUUCCAUUCUGAUAUUAAGGAGGAACAGAGGUUGGAGUCUGCAUCUUUUCACCAGUCCUCAUAUUUCCUGUGGUUAAUUAUGGUGUACAGCAGUGCCAGAUGGCAACUGGAAAUUACAAACAGAAUGAACUAUCAGAAGCAGCAAAAUCUGGAGGACAGCCAUGGAAUGCUUUCCAAAGAGGCAACAAUCUGGAACAAACAGCCCAGCAUCAUGCAGGAAAAGAGCAUACACCUUGUGACCACAGCAUAUCUGUGCUAAGAAGACAAUCCUGGCUUCUUCUCAGAUUCCAGGAGCGGAGAGAUGCAAGUUAGGGAUGCAGAGUAGAGGGUGUGCUACCUGAACACUGUGGAUGGGAGCUCAAUAGAAGAAUUCUAGGAAUUCUUUCUACAGGAUGGGUGCAGCCCACCAGCAUUUCAAUCUAAAACCUGUAAUGUCAUGCACAGAAGCACGAAGAAGUGAGGUCUCUGCAGUUAGAAAACAGACCAAAAACUGCAGUAGUGAUGGAGAAAAGGGGAGUGGCAAAGGGCAAGAGUCGUAUGAUCUUCAACGUGAUUCCUUGGAUGGCCACAGUGAAGUAGACGGGUAUGGCAAGCUGUUAGCCAUUUUAUUUACAUGGAAGAAUAAAAAGUGUCAAAA